rnacentral:rRNA from 1 species
CGUUGCUUAACACAUGCAAGUCGAACGAGGUCCACUGCGUAGCAAUACAAGGGAAGACCUAGUGGCGAACGGGUGCGUAACACGUGAGGAACUUGUCCCGGUCUCUGGGAUAACAGUUGGAAACGACUGCUAAUACCGGAUGACGUCGGAAUCUCGCAUGGGAUACUGACGAAAGGGUUACUGGAUCGGGAGAGCCUCGCGGCCUAUCAGCUUGUUGGUGAGGUAACGGCUCACCAAGGCAUCGACGGGUAGCUGGUCUGAGAGGAUGAUCAGCCACACUGGGACUGAGACACGGCCCAGACUCCUACGGGAGGCAGCAGUGGGGAAUCUUGCGCAAUGGGCGAAAGCCUGACGCAGCAACGCUGCGUGCGGGAAGAAGGCCCUCGGGUUGUAAACCGCUUUCAGUAGGAACGAAAAUGACGGUACCUGCAGAAGAAGGUGCGGCCAACUACGUG